GUGCCAGCCGCCGCGGUAAUACGGAGGGUGCAAGCGUUAAUCGGAAUUACUGGGCGUAAAGCGCACGCAGGCGGUCUGUCAAGUCGGAUGUGAAAUCCCCGGGCUCAACCUGGGAACUGCAUUCGAAACUGGCAGGCUAGAGUCUCGUAGAGGGAGGUAGAAUUCCAGGUGUAGCGGUGAAAUGCGUAGAGAUCUGGAGGAAUACCGGUGGCGAAGGCGGCCUCC
rnacentral:rRNA from 1 species